rnacentral:rRNA from 1 species
UACAGAGGUCCCAAGCGUUGUUCGGAUUCACUGGGCGUAAAGGGUGCGUAGGCGGUCGGGUAAGUCUGAUGUGAAAUCUCACAGCUUAACUGUGAAACUGCAUUGGAUACUAUCCGGCUCGAGGAAUGGAGGGGAGACUGGAAUACUUGGUGUAGCAGUGAAAUGCGCAGAUAUCAGGAGGAACACCGGUGGCGAAGGCGGGUCUCUGGGCCGUAACUGACGCUGAGGAGCGAAAGCGUGGGGAGCGAACAGG